rnacentral:rRNA from 1 species
GAUCUCAAAUGAAGCAAGAUUACCCGCUGAACUUAAGCAUAUUAUUAAGCGGAGGAAAAGAAACUAACAAGGAUGCCCUCAGUAACGGCGAGUGAAGCGGGCAAAGCUCAACCUGAAAAUCGGAUUCCUUAGCGGGAUUUCGAAUUGUGGGCUACAGACGCGUAAUCAGUGUGUGACCCAGGUAUAAAUCUCUUUGAAACGAGGUAUCAUAGAGGGUGAGAAUCCCGUCUGUGACUUGGAGUUCGCCGCGUACGAUUCGUGUUCGCAGAGUCGCGUUGUUUGGGAUUGCAGCGCUAAAUGGGUGGUAAAUUUCAUCUAAAGCUAAAUAUCGACGAGAGACCGAUAGCGAACAAGUACCGUGAGGGAAAGAUGAAAAGAACUUUGAAAAGAGAGUUAAAAAGUACUUGAAAUUGCUAAGAGGGAAGCACUGGAAACCAG